rnacentral:lncRNA from 1 species
AUGAGAAAAACUGAGGUCAGAAAAACUGAUAGACCAUUUUAGAGGUGCAAGUAUCCUGAUGUUCAGUUCAGAAGUUGCAACAGAGUUACGAAUAAUAGUGAGUUCAAAUUUGCUUUACUACAAUAUUUGAAAAGCAGAGAUGAUCGUUUUCAAGCUAAUAAUAUAUUACUAUUACAUAGCAUUCCCUUACCAUUUCAUUUCCCUGUUCCUGUCUAUGGGAAUAUUCACGGAGCCUUCAUUAUGUAGGAACACUGAGCAUAGGCCAGGCAUUCCAGAUGGCAUAGCUACAAGCUGCAGAGAGCCACCCGAUCCACACCAGACUGCAAUAGGAGGGCAAGGGAGCCAGGACACAAAGUGA